GGAUCUGAAAAGGCUUCUAGCAGUCAUGGAGUGUGGUCACAGGAAGGGUAGCAGUGGCUUUCAAGAGAAAUGUGUGCAUAGUCAGUCCUUCAUUAGGUCUUAACCAGACGAGCAGCAAAGGCUCCAUCAAUUGAAUGUUUUACUGGGAAAGAGAAAUAAAAACCACGCUCCGUCACAAAAUCAGGUGGCACAUAUCCAUCAACAGGAUCUAUUUGAAAUUCGGGAUGCCUGAGA
rnacentral:misc_RNA from 1 species